CAGUUCACGGUAAUACCAGUAUAAUGUUAGGCAAUGAUAAGCAAAUGAAAUAUCGCGAUAGACUAUGGGUAAAACGCGCAUGCGCAGUGCCUUUGUUUUCAUACGCACAUGGCAGAAAAAGUAAGGCAGCGACGGAGAAUGAGAAGGGUGAAAGCGGAUCGUUGAAUGAAACGGAUGAACCAGAAUUGGAUGAUCCCACACUGCUUCAAUAAUGUUACUGGGGAGGCCAAACCAUGACUCAUAAUGUUCAACUGUAUGUUUCCAAUCCAGUUUUCACAAGAUCAACACCACUGGCUGAAAUGCAGCCUCAAGCCAUGACAGAGCCUCCACCUCUUUUAGAAGAGACACCCACUGUUGUACCUCUCUCUGGAUCUCCUCCAUACAUAUCGACGAUGAUUUGAACCAAACAUUUCAAAUUUGGAUUUGUCACUUCAUAAAAAUUGUUAGCACUGAUUUUCUGUGCAGUUCUUGUGUAUUUU